AGUUGUGUCUGUCCUUGAAGCCA
rnacentral:miRNA from 1 species